AACCAUUCUCACCUGCGGCUAGACCUGCGGAAGGAUCAUUACAAGUGACCCCGGUCUAACCACCGGGAUGUUCAUAACCCUUUGUUGUCCGACUCUGUUGCCUCCGGGGCGACCCUGCCUUCGGGCGGGGGCUCCGGGUGGACACUUCAAACUCUUGCGUAACUUUGCAGUCUGAGUAAACUUAAUUAAUAAAUUAAAACUUUUAACAACGGAUCU
rnacentral:misc_RNA from 1 species